UUGGUUAAGCUAAUAAGAGCACACGGAGGAUGCCUAGGCGCCAGGAGCCGACGAAGGACGUGGCGAACAACGAAACUGCCUCGGGGAGCUGUAAGCAAGCUUUGAUCCGGGGGUGUCCGAAUGGGGAAACCCAGCUGUGGUAAUUCGCAGUUACUCGUAUCUGAAUACAUAGGAUACGCAGAGGCAGACCAGGGGAACUGAAACAUCUAAGUACCCUGAGGAAGAGAAAACAAUAGUGAUUCCGUCAGUAGCGGCGAGCGAACGCGGAACAGCCUAAACCAAGGGGCUUGCCCCUUGGGGUUGUGGGACGUCUCACAUGGAGUUACAAAGGAAUAUGGUAGGUGAAGAGGUCUGGAAAGGCCCGCGAUAGAGGUAAAAGCCCUGUAGCCUAAACUGUGUUCUCUCCGAGACGGAUCCCGAGUAGUGCGGGGCACGUGAAACCCCGUAUGAAUCCAGCAGGACCAUCUGCUAAGGCUAAAUACUACCUGGCGACCGAUAGUGAAACAGUACCGUGAGGGAAAGGUGAAAAGCACCCCGGAAGGGGAGUGAAAUAGAACCUGAAACCGUGUGCUUACAAAAAGUCAGAGCCCUUUCUAUGGGUGAUGGCGUGCCUUUUGUAGAAUGAACCGGCGAGUUACGUUUAACAUGCAAGGUUAAGGUGAGAAGCCGGAGCCGCAGCGAAAGCGAGUCUGAAUAGGGCGACUGAGUAUGUGGACGUAGACCCGAAACCGUGUGAUCUACCCCUGUCCAGGGUGAAGGUGCGGUAACACGCACUGGAGGCCCGAACCCACGCAUGUUGAAAAAUGCGGGGAUGAGGUGGGGGUAGCGGAGAAAUUCCAAUCGAACUCGGAGAUAGCUGGUUCUCCCCGAAAUAGCUUUAGGGCUAGCCUCGGUGAAUGGAGUGGUGGAGGUAGAGCACUGAUUGGGUGCGGGGCCCGCAAGGGUUACCAAGCUCAGUCAAACUCCGAAUGCCAUUUACUUCUUGCCGGGAGUCAGACAGUGAGUGCUAAGAUCCAUUGUCAAAAGGGAAACAGCCCAGACCAUCAGCUAAGGUCCCCAAGUGUGUGUUAAGUGGGAAAGGAUGUGGAGUUGCACAGA
rnacentral:rRNA from 1 species